GCUUGGGAAUAUGCCUUUAGGUGGGGGACAACAGUUGGAAACGACUGCUAAUACCGCAUAAUGUCUACGGACCAAAGAGGGGGACCUUCGGGCCUCUUGCAUUUAGAUGAGCCUGCGUCGGAUUAGCUUGUUGGCGGGGUAAUGGCCCACCAAGGCGACGAUCCGUAGCUGGUCUGAGAGGAUGAUCAGCCACACUGGGACUGAGACACGGCCCAGACUCCUACGGGAGGCAGCAGUGGGGAAUAUUGGACAAUGGGCGCAAGCCUGAUCCAGCAAUACCUCGUGUGUGAAGAAGGCCUU
rnacentral:rRNA from 1 species